rnacentral:rRNA from 1 species
UGGGGGAUAUUGCACAAUGGGCGAAAGCCUGAUGCAGCGACGCCGCGUGGGGGAUGAAGGCCUUCGGGUUGUAAACUUCUUUUGCUCUGAACAAGGCGCACCAUGGGGUGUGUUGAGUGUAGGGGUUGAUUAGCGCCGGCUAACUACGUGCCAGCAGCCGCGGUCAUACGUAGGGCGCGAGCGUUGUCCGGAAUUAUUGGGCGUAAAGGGCUUGUAGGUGGCUGGUUGCGUCUGUCGUGAAAGCUCAUGGCUUAACUGUGGGUUUGCGGUGGGUACGGGCUGGCUUGAGUGCAGUAGGGGAGGCUGGAAUUCCUGGUGUAGCGGUGGAAUGCGCAGAUAUCAGGAGGAAUGCCGGUGGCGAAGGCGGGUCUCUGGGCUGUUACUGACACUGAGGAGCGAAAGCAUGGGGAGCGAACAGG